rnacentral:rRNA from 1 species
AAUCAACGCUGGCGGCGUGCCUCAGACAUGCAAGUCGAACGCGAAAGGCCCCUUCGGGGGCUGAGUAGAGUGGCGUCCGGGUGAGUAACACGUGGGUAAUCUACCUUCGGGUGGGGAAUAACAGUCGGAAACGACUGCUAAUACCGCAUAAUGCAGCGGCACCUAAUGGUGACAGUUGUUAAAGCGGGGAGUCGCAAGACCUCGCGCCUGAAGAGGAGCCCGCGGCGGAUUAGCUAGUUGGCAGGGUAACGGCCUACCAAGGCGACGAUCCGUAGCCGGCCUGAGAGGGCGGUCGGCCACACUGGCACUGACACACGGGCCAGACUCCUACGGGAGGCAGCAGUCGGGAAUUUUGGGCAAUGGGCGAAAGCCUGACCCAGCAACGCCGCGUGAAGGAUGAAGGCCCUAGGGUUGUAAAGCUCUUUUGUGCGGGAAGAUAAUGACGGUACCGCAAGAAUAAGCCCCGGCUAA